GCCCAGUUGGCUUGGAGGGUGGAGCAUCUGCCUUGAAAGUGCUAGGUCAUGGGUUUGAUUCCUAUUUGGGGCA
rfam:Asian citrus Psyllid, Diaphorina citri - Florida Strain, whole genome shotgun sequence.